CCCUCGGUGGCUUAGCCCGGUAAAGCAUCUGACUGUAAUCGAAGAUGGAGAUCAGAGGAUCGCGUGUUCGAAUCACGCCUGAGGGA
rnacentral:tRNA from 1 species